rnacentral:rRNA from 1 species
UACGAAGGGGGCUAGCGUUGCUCGGAAUCACUGGGCGUAAAGCGCACGUAGGCGGAUUGCUAAGUCAGGGGUGAAAUCCUGGAGCUCAACUCCAGAACUGCCUUUGACACUGGUGAUCUUGAGUCCGGGAGAGGUGAGUGGAACUGCGAGUGUAGCGGUGGAAUGCGUAGAGAUCCCCAAGAACACCAGUUGCGAAGGCGGCCGACUGGACACAUAUUGACGCUGAGGCUCGAAAGCAUGGGGAGCAAACAGGG